rnacentral:lncRNA from 1 species
GCUCUCUGGAGCCCCUGAAGCACUCCGCUGUGAGCUGGGCUGGUGUGAGCUGACACAGCCCAGCAACCAUCUCGGGGCAGGGGGACGGCUGCGUGACCCGAGGUUGGCACGGGAAGGGUGUCCCUGUCUCGCCAGCCGCGAUGCCAGCGUCCAGGGCUCUCUCCUGGUCCGUGGGCAUGUCCACGGGGGAUGCUCAGGAGGGAUUUUUCCAGCAGAGCAUCACAAGGAGCCACCUGGGAAAGAGCGCUCACCCUCCGAGGUCACAGGAGAGCAAGCACCAGCCAGCCGCGUCCCCGCCCCUAAUCACAGGGAGCUGGCCGGGUGCAGGCGUGGGGAGGACUUCGGAUCUUCUUGGCUGUGACAGCACUGGGCUGGCCCCGGGAAGGGGGUCCAACUCUCCCAGGGCAUGGACACCAAGCCAAGCCCCAGUGGGGAGGAGGCCUGCCGAGGGCAAGGGCAGCAUGCAGCUGGAGAUGGGGACUCAGGAUCUGAGGGACCCAGCAGCCCCACUACCCCGUAUGGAAAUGGAACCCGUGUGUCAAAGAGACACUGCCUUUCCAAGUCACUGCAGCACUGUUCACAGUGGCCAGGAUGUGGCACCAAUCGACCCGAGUGCCUGUCCACGGAGGUAGGGGUUCACCGUGGAAUACUAUUUAGUCCUUAAAAGGAAGAAAAUCCUGUUGUUGUGAUGAUGUGGAUGAGCCCAGGGGCCUCACGCCAAGUGAGACGCUCAGCACAGGGACGCGAAUGCUGCGUGGCUCAGCUGCGUGUGGUCCUGAAACCUUGACCUCAGAGAGCGGAGAGCAGAGUGGGCUGCCGGGGGCAGGCGGGAGAGCGGCCAAAGGAGCUACGUCCCAGCUCCCCGGGAGGAGGAGCAGAGGGGUCUGUAGUACAACACGGUGACAAUGAUGAAUCGCAGUGCAUUAUCCCCUUGGAAAUAGGCUAAGAGAGUGGAGCUUAAGUGUUUUCACCACAAAAUGACAACCGUGUGAGACAAUGCAUAUGUUAAUUAGCUGGUUUCGCCACUGGCAGGGUGUGAGUGUGUUGGGGUCUAGAUGUGCGCGUCUCCCAAGUGGGAG